rnacentral:tRNA from 1 species
CUACGGACUGAAAAUCCGUUGGCUUUAUUGACCGUGAGGGUUCAAGUCCCUCUACCCCCA